UACAGAGGUCUCAAGCGUUGUUCGGAUUCAUUGGGCGUAAAGGGUGCGUAGGUGGCGCGGUAAGUCGGGUGUGAAAUCUUGGAGCUUAACUCCGAAACUGCAUUCGAUACUGCCGUGCUUGAGGACUGGAGAGGAGACUGGAAUUUACGGUGUAGCGGUGAAAUGCGUAGAUAUCGUAAGGAAGACCAGUGGCGAAGGCGGGUCUCUGGACAGUUCCUGACGCUGAGGCACGAAAGCGUGGGGAGCAAACAGG
rnacentral:rRNA from 1 species